AGAAAACUUAUGGAAUUGUUUGAAAAUGCCACUGUUCAAUUGGGAAGAUUCGCCCAAUCGCAUGCAAGACCUUGGUCAUGGCGUUGUGGAAAACCGGUGCGCGUUCUCAGUAGAUUUCAUCUAAAACCUGUGCGAAAGUAUCCCGAGAGGACCAUAAAAGCUAAAAUAUUCAAAUUGGUUAUGGCCAAUUUAUUAAAAAGUCAAGCAAAUGGUAAAAUUUUCUGUCAGUUGCAAAACUGGAACAAUCUAGUUGCUACGUUUUUUUGCAAUGUUCUUCUUUAUCUGCUUGUAUUAAUUAUUGUUUUUUAUGGCCUUCUGAUGAAAUAAACAUUGGAAAUGUGAAUUCCGAAACUAGAUUACAAAAAAGUCUUCAUAUAUUGCGAAUAUAUCGCAAGAAAAUUCACAUUAUGUAUUACUCUUCCGGUUUUGCUCCUCAGUGUAUAUGCACUAAGUAACGAAUAAUAAAA